GCCGACUUAGCCUCAAUUGUAGAGCAACUACUUGUAAUCCAGUUAGGUUGGGGGUUCAAAGUCCUCUAGUCGGCACCA
rnacentral:tRNA from 1 species